UUCCGGUUGAUCCCGCCGGAGGCCAUUGCUAUCGGAGUCCGAUUUAGCCAUGCUAGUCGUGCGAGUUCAGACUCGCGGCACCGAGCUCAGUAACACGUGGCCAAACUACCCUACAGAGACGGAUACCCUCGGGAAACUGAGGUUAACCCGUCAUACCGAUCUCAGGCUUGAAUCGCAGAGAUCACAAAAUGCCCCGGCGCUGUAGGAUGUGGCUGCGGUUGAUUAGGUAGACGGUGGGGUAACGGCCCACCGUGCCCAUAAUCAGUACAGGUUGUGAGAGCAAGAACCUGGAGACGGAAUCUGAGACAAGAUUCCGGGCCCUACGGGGCGCAGCAGGCGCGAAACCUUUACACUGCACGCACGUGCGAUAAGGGGACUCCGAGUGCGAGGGCAUAUCGUCCUCGCUUUCGUGUACCGUAGGGUGGUACACCAACAAGGGCUGGGCAAGACCGGUGCCAGCCGCCGCGGUAAUACCGGCAGCCCAAGUGAUGGCCGCUGUUAUUGGGCCUAAAGCGUCCGUAGCUGGCCGCACAAGUCCGUCGGGAAAUCCGCCCGCUCAACGGGCGGCCGUCCGGCGGAACCUGUGUGGCUUGGGACCGGGAGGCCUGAGGGGUACGAUCGGGGUAGGAGUGAAAUCCUGUAAUCCCGCUCGGACCGCCGAUGGGGAAACCACCUCAGGAGAACGGAUCCGACAGUGAGGGACGAAAGCCAGGGUCUCGAACCGGAUUAGAUACCCGGGUAGUCCUGGCCGUAAACGAUGCUUGUUAGGUGUGACUCCCACUACGAGUGGGUGUUGUGCCGUAGGGAAGCCGCUAAACAAGCCGCCUGGGAAGUACGUCUGCAAGGAUGAAACUUAAAGGAAUUGGCGGGGGAGCACUGCAACCGGAGGAGCCUGCGGUUUAAUUGGACUCAACGCCGGACAUCUCACCAGCCCCGACUGUGAUCAUGACGGUUAGGUUGACUGCCUCAUCACGAGUCACAGAGAGGAGGUGCAUGGCCGCCGUCAGCUCGUACCGUGAGGCGUCCUGUUAAGUCAGGCAACGAGCGAGACCCGGGUCCUUACUUGCCAGCAACGUCGCGAGACGGUUGGGGACAGUAGGGAGACUGCCGUCGCGAAGACGGAGGAAGGAACGGGCAACGGUAGGUCAGUAUGCCCCGAAUGGGUUGGGCAACACGCGGGCUACAAUGGUCGGGACAACGGGUUCCUACAUCGAAAGGUGACGGUAAUCUCGCAAACCCGAUCGUAGUUCGGAUUGUGGACUGCAACUCGUCCACAUGAAGCUGGAUUCGGUAGUAAUCGCGUGUCAGAAGCGCGCGGUGAAUACGUCCCUGCUCCUUGCACACACCGCCCGUCAA
rnacentral:rRNA from 1 species